AUGAAUUAAUCUUCACCUACGGAAUAUCGUUGAUGAAGAGGUUUUUGAAAAAUAUGACUACCCUUGAUGAAUGGUUGCAUUUUUCUAAUUAUUAAAAUUGAGUAGUAUUAAUUAGCAAUGAAUUUUUCAUAGGUAAUAGCAAUUAAUCUCCACCUACAAGAGCUUGAAAUACCUUUUUAACGAAAAUGAUUUACGUGAAGGAUUCAAUUACUAAACGAUUACAUUAUGUACGGAAUAUUCGUUAGUAAAAAGAAAUAAACUUUACCAAUAAAUGUUCCGUUGUUGAUUGCCGUAGUUAAAAAUAGAUUACUGCCCAUGUUUCCUUUGAUGUGGUGGUAGGUGCAAUUCUUGAGAAAACAGUCUCAUGAACCAUUUGUUGGAUGGAGAACAACACCUUUGAGUCCAUCUUUCUCUUUUCCCUCAACUGAUUUUCUUUACCUGGAUCAACAAACCCAUUUUUUACUGAGUUCCAUAGAUCUUGGGACUUGAAUUUGAUGCUCCAAAACUCAUAACUCUCUCCUUUGAAAAUAGGGAUGGUAAAUUGUGAAACGCUCACUAAAUUUCCAUUUGAAGCCAUGAUAUUUCUCUCUUUCUCUUGAGUAUUGUACCUAAUUAGGCUCUGUUGAAUCUAAACGUGUCUCUGAUACCACAAAUGUCGGAAAUCUAGAUAGCAAAUUAUUAAAAGGAAAUUGCAAAGAGGAAAUAACACUAAAAAAUGCAGAAAAUGCAAGUUAUCUACUACCAGUUGUAUUCUAGAGCUAUAUAUAUUAUAUAGGCUUACAAGCAAAAAAAAAAAAAAGAAAAAAAAAAGGAAAUCUCAACUAACAUUAGAUAUUCCACUACUUGCAGACUUAUUUUAUUAAGGAAAAAUAGAGAAUUAAGAAGCAAG
rnacentral:lncRNA from 1 species